GACGAACGCUGGCGGCGUGCUUAACACAUGCAAGUCGAACGGAAAGGCCCUGCUUUUGUGGGGUGCUCGAGUGGCGAACGGGUGAGUAACACGUGAGUAACCUGCCCUUGACUUUGGGAUAACUUCAGGAAACUGGGGCUAAUACCGGAUAGGAGCUCCUGCUGCAUGGUGGGGGUUGGAAAGUUUCGGCGGUUGGGGAUGGACUCGCGGCUUAUCAGCUUGUUGGUGGGGUAGUGGCUUACCAAGGCUUUGACGGGUAGCCGGCCUGAGAGGGUGACCGGCGACAGGGGUGCGGAGAUACGUCCCAGACGCCUACGGCAGGCACGAGUGGGGUGUAGGCCGCCAGGGGCGGUGGCCUGUUGCAGCAACGUCGCGGGGGGGAUGACGGCCGUCGGGUUGUAUACGUCUUUCGCCUGGGACGAAGCGUGAGGGACGGUAAUGGGUAAAGCAGCACCGGCUAACUACUUG
rnacentral:rRNA from 1 species